AUUGAACGCUGGCGGCAUGCCUUACACAUGCAAGUCGAACGGCAGCACGGGUGCUUGCACCUGGUGGCGAGUGGCGAACGGGUGAGUAAUACAUCGGAACAUGUCCUGUAGUGGGGGAUAGCCCGGCGAAAGCCGGAUUAAUACCGCAUACGAUCCACGGAUGAAAGCGGGGGACCUUCGGGCCUCGCGCUAUAGGGUUGGCCGAUGGCUGAUUAGCUAGUUGGUGGGGUAAAGGCCUACCAAGGCGACGAUCAGUAGCUGGUCUGAGAGGACGACCAGCCACACUGGGACUGAGACACGGCCCAGACUCCUACGGGAGGCAGCAGUGGGGAAUUUUGGGCCAUGGGCGAAAGCCUGAUCCAGCAAUGCCGCGUGUGUGAAGAAGGCCUUCGGGUUGUAAAGCACUUUUGUCCGGAAAGAAAUCCUUGACUCUAAUACAGUCGGGGGAUGACGGUACCGGAAGAAUAAGCACCGGCUAACUACGUG
rnacentral:rRNA from 1 species